GCCUCUUUAGCUCAAUUGGUAGAGCACUUGAUUUGUAACCAUGAGGUUAUCGGUUCGAGUCCGAUAAGAGGCU
rnacentral:tRNA from 1 species